rnacentral:rRNA from 1 species
ACCUCCCACCCGUGUUUAUUUUACCUUGUUGCUUCGGCGGGCCCGCCUUAACUGGCCGCCGGGGGGCUUACGCCCCCGGGCCCGCGCCCGCCGAAGACACCCUCGAACUCUGUCUGAAGAUUGUAGUCUGAGUGAAAAUAUAAAUUAUUUAAAACUUUCAACAACGGAUCUCUUGGUUCCGGCAUCGAUGAAGAACGCAGCGAAAUGCGAUACGUAAUGUGAAUUGCAAAUUCAGUGAAUCAUCGAGUCUUUGAACGCACAUUGCGCCCCCUGGUAUUCCGGGGGGCAUGCCUGUCCGAGCGUCAUUUCUGCCCUCAAGCACGGCUUGUGUGUUGGGCCCCGUCCUCCGAUCCCGGGGGACGGGCCCGAAAGGCAGCGGCGGCACCGCGUCCGGUCCUCGAGCGUAUGGGGCUUUGUCACCCGCUCUGUAGGCCCGGCCGGCGCUUGCCGAUCAACCCAAAUUUUUAUCCAGGUUGACCUCGGAUCAGGUAGGGAUACCCGCUGAACUUAAGCAUAUCAAUAAGCAGAGGAA